CACACCGUAAACGUUGGGCGCUAGGUGUGGGAUCCAUUCCACGGGUUCCGUGCCGUAGCUAACGCAUUAAGCGCCCCGCCUGGGGAGUACGGCCGCAAGGCUAAAACUCAAAGGAAUUGACGGGGGCCCGCACAAGCGGCGGAGCAUGCGGAUUAAUUCGAUGCAACGCGAAGAACCUUACCUGGGUUUGACAUACACCCUGCCGCUCCAGAGAUGGGGUUUCUUUUGGGGGUGUACAGGUGG
rnacentral:rRNA from 1 species